rnacentral:rRNA from 1 species
UACGAGGGGUCCAAGCGUUGUUCGGAAUCACUGGGCGUAAAGCGGGUGUAGGUGGCUCUGCAAGUCAUAUGUGAAAGCCCCGGGCUCAACCCAGGAAGUGCAUGUGAUACUACAGAGCUUGAGUACGGGAGAGGAUGGUAGAAUUCCUGGUGUAGUGGUGAAAUACGUAGAUAUCAGGAGGAACUCCGGUGGCGAAGGCGGCCAUCUGGCCCAGUACUGACACUCAGACCCGAAAGCGUGGGUAGCAAACAGG